rnacentral:rRNA from 1 species
UGCCUGUAGAUAACCAAUUACAGGUUCAUCCUGCCCAGUGAUCCCAUAUUCAACGGCCGCGGUACACUGACCGUGCUAAGGUAGCGCAAUUACUUGCCUUUUAAUUGAAGGCCUGUACGAACGGACCCACGAAAGCCUAACUGUCUCACAACUAUAAAAGGAAACUAAUCUUUAAGUGAAAAAGCUUAACUCAAAUAAAAAGACAAGAAGACCCUGUAGAGCUUAACUCAUACAUCUAUAACCUCAACCUAUUUUUACAAUCACCUCUAGCCCAAGAGUUUUGCUGGGGCAGCAAGAGACCAACAAAAACGUCUCCUUACAACCAAGACCCUAAGUCACCCACCAGACCCCCUCCUCUUCUUAGAAGACCCAGGGAACUUAAAACAUAGCUACCUCAGGGAUAACAGACUAAUUUGUCUUAAAAGUCCACAUUAACAGACAAGUUUGGCACCUCGAUGUUGGCUCAGGAUUCCCCUAGUGUGCAGCAGCACUAUAGGUAAGUAUGUUCUCCUUUUAAAAUCCU